CUCAUAAAGUGCGUCGUAGUCCGGAUUGGAGUCUGCAACUCGACUCCAUGAAGUCGGAAUCGCUAGUAAUCGUGGAUCAGAAUGCCACGGUGAAUACGUUCCCGGGCCUUGUACACACCGCCCGUCACACCAUGGGAGUGGGUUGCAAAAGAAGUAGGUAGCUUAACCUUCGGGAGGGCGCUUACCACUUUGUGAUUCAUGACUGGGGUGAAGUCGUAACAAGGUAACCGUAGGGGAACCUGCGGUUGGA
rnacentral:rRNA from 5 species